UAGUCCACGCCGUAAACGAUGAUUACUCGGUAUUGGCGAUAAACAGUCAGUGCCCAAGCGAAAGCGUUAAGUAAUCCACCUGGGGAGUACGUUCGCAAGAAUGAAACUCAAAGGAAUUGACGGGGGUCCGCACAAGCGGGGGAGCAUGUGGUUUAAUUCGAUGAUACGCGAGGAACCUUACCUAGGCUAGAAUGCUUUUGGACCGAUGCCGAAAGGUGUUUUUCUCUUCGGAGACCGAUUGCAAGGUGCUGCAUGGUUGUCGUCAGCUCGUGUCGUGAGACGUCGCGUUAAGUCGCUUAACGAGCGCAACCCUUGUCUUUAGUUGCCAGCACGUAAUGGUGGGGACUCUAGAGAGACUGCCGGUGUCAAACCGGAGGAAGGUGGGGACGACGUCAAGUCAUCAUGGCCUUUAUGUCCAGGGCUGCACACGUCCUACAAUGCGGCGUACAAACGGAAGCUAACCCGCGAGGGUACGCAAAUCUGAAAAAGCGACCGCUCAGUUCGGAUUGCAGGCUGC
rnacentral:rRNA from 1 species